GUUGUGGAGCCCUGAUGAAGCUGGUGAGACUCUUUCUGCUGGUUUUGAAGAACCUUAGAGCAGACCUAAGCAACGCUUUGAGUGAAUGGGAAAGGGGAAACAUUUGUCAGGUGUCUAAAAUUUAGCUCUGAAGUAAGCUUUUCAGCAUUAAUAUGGCAUCUAAAUAAUGAUUUUAUCUUCAGACAUGGUGAAUAUCAGCGACUUCCAGAAGACAUGAGAGGCAUUGACUGAAGCUGGGACGAGGAGAUAGUUUUUCCACAUCUGCUGAAAGCCACAGCAGCACAUCUCUUGUUUCAAGGAUGUCACGAUCUGCCAAACAGGAUAACAUUGGCUGUUCCUGCCAAAC